rnacentral:rRNA from 1 species
UCACUGACCAAAAGUUUAAGAGCCGCGGUAUAUUGACCGUGCAAAGGUAGCAUAAUAAUUAGUUUUUUAAUUGAAAACUAGCAUGAAUGGUUUGACAAAAGAAAAGCUGUCUCUUUUUUAAAUAUUGAAUUUAACUUCUAAGUGAAAAGGCUUAGAUGAUUCAGGGGGACGAUAAGACCCUAUAAAGCUUUAUAUGUUUUAAAUAUUUUGCUAAAUUAAUGUCUAAAAGUUUAUAUUUGAAAUUUAUUUUGUUGGGGUGACAAAGGUAUAAGUAAAAUAACUGUUUUUAAUACACACAAUAAUGGUUGAAUAUAUUUAAUUGAUCCUCUGUAGUGAUUUAAAAUUAAGUUACUUUAGGGAUAACAGCGUAAUUCUUUUCGAGAGCCCAUAUCGAAAAAAGAGUUUGCGACCUCGAUGUUGAAUUAAAAAUUCUUUAUUGUGCAGCCGCCAUAAAAGAAGGUCUGUUCGACCUUUAAUUUUUUACAUGAUUUGAGUUCAGAUCGGCGUGAGCCAGGUUG